GGGAAUGUAGCUCAGUGGUAGAGUGCUUGCCUAAUAAGUAAGAUGUCCUAGGUUCAAUCCACUGUACCA
rnacentral:tRNA from 1 species